AUUGAACGCUGGCGGCAGGCCUAACACAUGCAAGUCGAACGAGUGGCGGACGGGUGAGUAAUGUCUGGGAAACUGCCUGAUGGAGGGGGAUAACUACUGGAAACGGUAGCUAAUACCGCAUACCAUCAGAUGUGCCCAGAUGGGAUUAGCUUGUUGGUGGGGUAACGGCUCACCAAGGCGACGAUCCCUAGCUGGUCUGAGAGGAUGACCAGCCAAACUGGAACUGAGAAAAGGUGCAGACUGCUACGGGAGGGAGCAGGGGGGAAGAUUGCAAAAUGGGCGGAAACCUGAUGCAGCCAUGGCGGGGGGAGGAAAGAGGGCUUCGGGGUGGAAAGGACGUUAAGCGGGGAGGCGGUACCCGCAGAAGAAGCACCGGCUAACUCCGUGCCAGCAGCCGCGGUAAUAC
rnacentral:rRNA from 1 species